rnacentral:rRNA from 1 species
AUGAUGAGCUCCAGGCUCCAGCAUUGGCGUACGGCACAUUUCACAGACUCACAAAAUAUUUCCUGCUCACCAAUACGUGUAUAUAUAAUCUUCACCCACCAACAAGUACGGCAGAUUUCACACUCACAAAAUAUUUCCUGCUCACCAAUACGUGUAUAUAUAAUCUUCACCCACCAACAAGUACACAUCAAUGCAGGGACUGUUGGAAUUGAGGGCACUACAUGUACAUAUGUAUGGAAUGUACUAAAUGCUAAAAAAAGAAAGAAAGAUUAUGCACCUUUUGCAUGCAUCAAAUCCACGGCCAACCUGCGUAGAAUAUAUUCCAUCUGUCGAUCUGUCUGUUCCGUCGUCGUACUAGCAAUUAACAGAUCGAUCGAGGGGGAAAGGGUGAAGGAAGCUUAA